CCGGCACGGGUGAGUAACACGUAUCCAACCUGCCGUCUACUCUUGGACAGCCUUCUGAAGGAAGAUUAAUACAAGAUGGCAUCAUGAGUCCGCAUGUUCACAUGAUUAAAGGUAUUCCGGUAGACGAUGGGGAUGCGUUCCAUUAGAUAGUAGGCGGGGUAACGGCCCACCUAGUCUUCGAUGGAUAGGGGUUCUGAGAGGAAGGUCCCCCACAUUGAAACUGAGACACGGUCCAA
rnacentral:rRNA from 1 species